AUGGAGAACGUGAGAUUGUCCAACCUACUGGAGUUCCUGAGUGUACCAGUAGGGGGUAUCAGUUACAAAGCAGCAUUCAGUGAGCAGCUCCAUGUCUCCGUUAUCGUUCCCCUCUGUGUCUGUCUGGAGGUUUAUGUACAGCAAGUCAAUCAGACUCUAUCACUGUGGUGGACUUUCGGUGGAGGGACCAAACUGAGCGUUGGCAGUGACGUUAGUCCCACCUUGACAGUCCUGCCCCCCUCCAGCGUUGAGCUGCAGCAGGGCAAGGCCACUCUCAUGUGCCUGGCCAACAAGGGCUUCCCCUCAGACUGGAAGCUGAGCUGGAAGGUGGACGGUAGCAGCAGCAACACCUGGGAGGUGACUGGGAGCCCCGGGGUCCUGGAGAAGGAAGGCCACUACAGCUGGAGCAGCACCCUGACCCUUCCUGUCGACCAGUGGAGGAAGGUGGGCUCUGUGACCUGUGAGGCCACCCAGGGCUCCCAGUCUCCACUCUCUGAGACACUGAGGAGAGACCAGUGUUCUGAUUAAUGAGUCCCCCUCUCUCUGACUCCACUGAUUAAUGAGUCC